GAAACUAAAUAGGAUUCCCUCAUUAAUGGCGAAUGAACAGGGAUCAGCUCAACAUGGAAAUUGGGGCUUCUGGCUUUGAAUUGUAAUCUCAAGAUGUAUUGCCAACAGGGGCGCAGAUGUAAGCCUCUUGGAAAAGAGAAUCCUUGAGGGUGAGAAUCCUGUUUGUCAUCUGCAGUCCUCUGUGUACGGCAUGCGUUCUAAGAGUCACGUUCCUCGGGAUUGGAGCGCAAAUUGGGUGGUAAAUUUCAUCUCAAGCUAAAUAUGGGUUCGAAACCGAUAGCAAACAAGUACCAUGAGGGAAACAUGAAAAGGACUUUGAAAAGAGAGUUAAAAGUGCCUGAACUUGCUGAAAGGAAAGCGGAUGGAACCAGUGUUGCUUAGUGAGAUUGUUGCGCGCUAAGGUGAUGGCCUGCUGCAUCAACGCAAGCGUUGCUGUGGGUUUUGAUCUGGUUGCGCGUGAUGCUUCUUGCUUUGAACGUCAUCUGGGGUUUGGAGGUGCUGACAACUCUUGGGACAUGGUAGCUCGCCUCUGGGUGAGCGAACGUGCCAAGCAGAACGUACCCCCAGACCUCUCGUCCUUGUGCGGGAGUUCUGCGCGCGGCAUGGUGACUGAAUCCUUCUAUUCGACCCGUCUUGAAACACGGACCCCGGAGUCUAACAUAUGUGCAAGUUCUUGGGUGGUGAAACCUACGUGCGCAAUGAAAGUGAUUACUGAGAUGCUUGCAUCAGCAGCCGACCGAUCAAUUGGGAGAGGUUUGAGCAUGAGCAUAUCUGUUAGGACCCGAAAGAUGGUGAACUAUGCCUGUGAAGGGUGAAGUCUGGGGAAACUCAGAUGGAGGCUCGUAGCGAUACUGACGUGCAAAUCGUUCGUCAUACAUGGGUAUAGGGGCGAAAGACUAAUCGAACCAUCUAGUAGCUGGUUCCC
rnacentral:rRNA from 1 species